rnacentral:rRNA from 1 species
UAUCCUACGGGGCGCAGCAGUAGGGAAUCUUCCACAAUGGGCGAAAGCCUGAUGGAGCAACGCCGCGUGGGUGAAGAAGGUCUUCGGAUCGUAAAACCCUGUUGUUAGAGAAGAAAGUGCGUGAGAGUAACUGUUCACGUUUCGACGGUAUCUAACCAGAAAGCCACGGCUAACUACGUGCCAGCAGCCGCGGUAAUACGUAGGUGGCAAGCGUUAUCCGGAUUUAUUGGGCGUAAAGGGAACGUAGGCGGACUUUUUAGUCUGAUGUGAAAGUCUUCGGCUUAACCGGAGGAGUGGAUUGGAAA